rnacentral:rRNA from 1 species
AUGAAUGGUUACCACGCUAUCCUAGAGCCUGUUCGGCAACACUCCACUCCUCUAAUUUCUCAACUCCACUCCUUACUUCUCAACUCCCAACUCUACUUGCAAAUUUUAGAAUUUUGCAAAACGUUCGGCAGCCAACUCCAGCUCUUCGACGUGUGCGCAUGUAGGAAGGGAAUCGGGGGGCAAGCGGGUAGGAUGAGAGAUUUGUGGGGUUCUGUUUCCUGUUUUUUCUCUCGAACUGGUAAGUGGCUGGUAAAAAUUGGUAUGAGGCAUCGAGACGGAGCGCGCGGAGUGUCACUUUCCCGACUCCAGCGAUUUGUACUACGGGCCGCUCCGCUCCGGAUUAUGAAAUCUACGGAGUUGACGCGUUCGGUGCGGCUCCGCCGGCUCCCGUAG